rnacentral:rRNA from 1 species
CUGUACAGUUCAGAGUUUGAUCCUGGCUCAGGAUGAACGCUGGCGGCGUGCAUAACACAUUCAAGUCGAACGGUGACGACCUUCGGGUCUGAUCAGUGGCGGACGGGUGAGUAACGCGUGAGCAACCUGCCCUUGUGUGGGGGGAUAACAUCUGGAAACGGAUGAUAAUACCGCAUAAUGCAACGGAAUCGCAUGUUUCUGUUGCCAAAGAUUUAUUGCGCAAGGAUGGGCUCGCGUUGGAUUAGAUAGUUGGUGAGGUAACGGCUCACCAAGUCGACGAUCCAUAGCCGGACUGAGAGGUUGAACGGCCACAUUGGAACUGAGAAACGGUCCAG